CCUACGGGUGGCUGCAGUGAGGAAUAUUGGUCAAUGGCCGUAAGGCUGAACCAGCCAAGUCUCGUGAAGGAAGAAGGAUCUAUGGUUUGUAAACUUCUUUUAUAGUGGCAUCAAGGUAUCCACGUGUGGAUAUUUGCAUGUACCCUAUGAAUAAUCAUCGGCUAACUCCGUGCCAGCAGCCGCGGUAAUCCGGAGGAUUCGCGCGUUAUCCGGAUUUAGUGGGUUUAAAGGGUGCGUAGGUUGUUUUUUAAGUCAGCGGUGAAAGUUUGUGGCUAAACCAUAAAAUUGCCGUGGAAACUGGAAGACUUGAGUGUGUUUGAGGUAGGCGGAAUGAGUGGUGUAGCGGGGAAAUGCAUAGAUAUCACACAGAACUCCGAUUGCGAAGGCAGCUUACUAAGCCAUAACUGACACUGAAGAACGAAAGCGUGGGGAUCAAACAGGAUUAGAGACCCCUGUAGUC
rnacentral:rRNA from 1 species